rnacentral:rRNA from 1 species
GAAGUCAUUGAUGCCAUGCUUCCGGGAAAAGCUUCUAAGCUUCAGAUUAUAAGAAAUCGUACCCCAAACCGACACAGGUGAUCAGGUAGAGAAUACCAAGGCGCUUGAGAGAACUCGGGUGAAGGAACUAGGCAAAAUGGUACCGUAACUUCGGGAGAAGGUACGCUCCUAGCGGUGAUGAGACUUGCUCUCUAAGCUGCCGGGAGUCGCAGAUACCAGGUGGCUGCAACUGUUUAUUAAAAACACAGCACUGUGCAAAAUCGAAAGAUGACGUAUACGGUGUGACGCCUGCCCGGUGCCGGAAGGUUAAUUGAUGGGGUUAGACUUCGGUCGAAGCUCUUGAUCGAAGCCCCGGUAAACGGCGGCCGUAACUAUAACGGUCCUAAGGUAGCGAAAUUCCUUGUCGGGUAAGUUCCGACCUGCACGAAUGGCGUAAUGAUGGCCACGCUGUCUCCACCCGAGACUCAGUGAAAUUGAAAUCGCAGUGAAGAUGCUGCGUCCCCGCGGCUAGACGGAAAGACCCCGUGAACCUUUACUAUAGCUUGGCACUGAACAUUGACCCUACAUGUGUAGGAUAGGUGGGAGACUGUGAAAUAAUCGCGCUAGCGGUUAUGGAGUCGUCCUUGAAAUACCACCCUUGUAUGCUUGAUGUUCUAACGUGGGCCCCUUAUCGGGGUUACGGACAGUGCCUGGUGGGUAGUUUGACUGGGGCGGUCUCCUCCCAAAGAGUAACGGAGGAGCACGAAGGUGGGCUAAUCACGGUCGGACAUCGUGAGGUUAGUGCAAUGGCAUAAGCCCGCUUGACUGCGAGAAUGACAAUUCGAGCAGGUGCGAAAGCAGGUCAUAGUGAUCCGGUGGUUCUGAAUGGAAGGGCCAUCGCUCAACGGAUAAAAGGUACUCCGGGGAUAACAGGCUGAUACCGCCCAAGAGUUCAUAUCGACGGCGGUGUUUGGCACCUCGAUGUCGGCUCAUCACAUCCUGGGGCUGAAGUCGGUCCCAAGGGUAUGGCUGUUCGCCAUUUAAAGUGGUACGCGAGCUGGGUUUAGAACGUCGUGAGACAGUUCGGUCCCUAUCUGCCGUGGGCGUUGGAUGAUUGAGAGGGGCUGCUCCUAGUACGAGAGGACCGGAGUGGACGAACCGCUGGUGUUCGGGUUGUGUCGCCAGACGCAUUGCCCGGUAGCUAAGUUCGGAAUCGAUAACCGCUGAAAGCAUCUAAGCGGGAAGCGAGCCUCAAGAUGAGUCAUCCCUAGACCUUUAAGGUCUCUAAAGGGUUGUUGAAGACUACAACGUUGAUAGGUCGGGUGUGUAAGUGCUGUGAGGCAUUGAGCUAACCGAUACUAAUUGCCCGUGAGGCUUAACC